CUAGAUCCUCCUCCUCCAGCCGCCUCGCCUCCCGCGGCCGCCGGGGGCCGCCUAGCUCCGCAGAGGGUUCGAGUUAUUGCAUGUGGUGGCAACCAAGCGUGAGGCUACAACUGCAUUACUUGCAAGGAAGUUACAAAAUGUAUGGAUCAUCAUACCCGUGACUUUCUUGCAAGUUGUGCAGUUGCUGUCUCAAGCUUGAUGCCUCUGUUUGCCAGAACUAUGAUGUGAAGUAGGAAUUUUAGCCAGGUUCUUUCUCUUGACCAGUAAAUCAAUUUUGAAAAGUUAAUGAAGUAAUAACUAUAUACACAAGGCAUGUAAUAUUUGAGAGCAGAUGCCCUUUUUUCAACAUUUUUAUCUCACUGUUUGAUAAGUCCUUUUUAAUGAACUGCUUAAAUAAGUUCGAGGAGGCAUUCCACACUAAAACUACUCAACUGUUUUCUACAAUUUCAUGUUGGAACAGUGUUGAAGACUUAAAUACUAUUUACUGUCACAGUUUGUUGAGUACUCUUAACUGUAUAACGUCCAAUAAACAAGCCUCCUUUAUUCCCAGUGGUUACAUGAAGCACACGCUCUUUGGUUUUGAUGCAUAAUUAGUUUUACCAAAAUUUGACAAUGCACAUAUAUUUUCCCUCAGUUAAGGCUUGUUUGGUUUAACGCAAAUAAUUACCUUACGAAAAUAGCAUGCCAAAAAUGUGGCGAAACAUCCUUUUUGGUUUGUUAACGAAUCCAGAAUUUUAAGUAGAUUUGGGCAGUGUCUUUUUAGUGCAAAAAUGUCAGCGAAAUUUUGGCUGCAGUUUUUUUCUGUUUGUCUGACUGAAUAUGAAGCCUGUCACCUUAGCAAGGCUGAGGUGAGAUUAGCCCCUGAUGUGGAACUUCAAGAAAUACUUCCAUUUAAUUGUACUAGAUAGAUUGCUGCUAUACAUUAAGCCUGUCAAAGCAGGCACAUGUGUGCACGCAUAAAUGCAGAUACAU